rnacentral:rRNA from 1 species
ACCCGCUGAACUUAAGCAUAUUACUAAGCGGAGGAAAAGAAACCAACCGGGAUUCCCUUAGUAACGGCGAGUGAACCGGGAGAAGCCCAACGCCGAAUCCCGUCGCAAGUAAAAGGCUUCGGGAAAUGUGGCGCAUGGGUCGGAAGCAGCCGUUCGUUUGUCUCGCGUAGUUCGGAGUUCCCUCGAUCGGGGCCGCCCGCGGCGGGUGCCAGGCCCAUUCGGUGCGGACAGCGAGCGACGGCUUUCGAUCCGCGAGUCGGGUUGCUUGGGAACGCAGCCCAAAUCGGGUGGUAAGCUCCAUCCAAGGCUAAAUACCGGGACGAGUCCGAUAGUCGACAAGUACCGUGAGGGAAAGUUGAAAAGAACUUUGGAGAGAGAGUUCAAGAGAACGUGAAACCGCCCAGGGGUAAACGGGUGGGACCGUUCACCGCGAUCGUGGGGGGACUCAGUCCGUGGCUCUCAGGUUGGACGUUCGUCGAUCCUUCGGGUGCGCUCUUGCGCUCGUGUCGCUGACGGGCUUGCCCGCUUGGCAUCUAUGGCGCGGGCGCUUCGGCACGACGUUCCUACAGCUGGCCUCGGACGCACUUCCCCUCCGGUCCGUCGUCGCGACCCGUUCCCGGCGUGCAGGUCGACCCGUGACGUCGUAGGUGGAAGUCGAACCUAAACUCCGGUCUUCGGAUCGGGGUCGUCUUCUGCCGGGCCCACGGACGUACUGCCCCUUCUGCUGGGGACGGAGGAAACGAGGUCCAAUACGUGGCGAGCCGGUCCUUUCUCGUCUGACGUCCUGCGCGAACCUUACUAUCGCCUCACUGUCGUGGCGCGCGCGGGAUGGAUGCGAGUCUCGGGACUGGCGCGGCCGCAUCGAUCACCCCACUGGUCCCCGGGUUCUAGGUCUCGGCCUUCUUCCUGGGAUGCCGGAGUCGUUGUUCGGUGCCGCUUCUCUAUGCCGCCCGCCACUUCGGGUCAGCGACGUGCAUCGGCAACCCACCCGACCCGUCUUGAAACACGGACCGAGGAGUCCUGGCCGUUCGCGAGUCGUAGGGGCCCAUUACGAACCCCGGAGGCGCAGCGAAAGCGAGAGAGCGUGUUGGAGGGUGUCGGUUCGGAGAGAUGAUCCUACGGGGUCGCGAUCCGUCCGGCUCGGCGAGUCCCGUACUUUCCGUUGUCCGCCCCGCGUCGGCUGUCAUCGCCGUAGUCGUCGGAUUUUCCCCUCGGGGAGAUGAUGUUUGUGGCUGCGGUGGGUCGGCGUGCGGGUUGUGACCGCGGCGUCUUUCCUCCUUCCGCCCGACGGUGAGAUCCCGAGGCCUUUACCCGCCAAGGGCGCAUCACCCCCGGGUCUGCCGAGUACGUCUCGGCCGACUCUGGCGUAGCGAGCGACCAGGGACCCGAAAGAUGGCGAUCCACGCCCGGUCGGGAUGAAGCCAGAGGAAACUCUGGUGGAAGUCCGAAGCGCCUCUGACGUGCAAAUCGAUCGUCGGAACCGGGUGUAGGGGCGAAAGACCAAUCGAGCCGUCUAGUAGCUGGUUCCCUCCGAAGUUUCCCUCAGGAUAGCUGGCCGCUCGAUCGUCGCAAUUCCAUCCGGUAAAGCGAACGAUUGGAGGCCCCGGGGACGUUCACGUCCUCGACCUACUCUCGAACUCGGAACGGGUGGAACGGGUCGACUCUCCCGAAUAACGGAGCCGUCCCAAGCGGUCUGCCUCGUGGCAGACUGCCCUCGAAUGCGAGUGCCAAGUGGGCCACUUUUGGUAAGCAGAACUGGCGCUGUGGGAUGAACCAAACGUCCGGCUAAGGUGCCUAACGCGACGCCCAUGAGAUCCCCGAAAGGGUGUCGGUCGAUAUAGACAGCAGGACGGUGGCCACGGAAGUCGGAAUCCGCUAAGGAGUGUGUAACAACUCACCUGCCGAAUCGACCGGCCCCGAAAAUGGAUGGCGCUGGAGCGACGGACCGAUGCCGGACCGUCGCGGCGAGGAGCGUGUCUUGACGCGCCAAACCGAUGCCGCGACGAGUAGGAGGGCGCCGCGGUGGCACGGAAGCCUAGGGCGUGAGCCCGGGUGGAGCCGACCGCGGGUGCAGAUCUCGGUGGUAGUAGCAAAUAUUCGAACGAGACCUUCGAAGACCGAAGUGGAGAAGGGUUCCGUGCCAACGGCGGUCGAGCACGGGUCAGUCGGUCCUAAGACGCGGGCGAAAGUCUUCCCGAAAGGCGCCGGAUCCGUGAGUAAUUCAUGUCUGCAUCGACUAUCAUGUGACUACAAGCGGCCGGCCUCCCGUCGAAAGGGAAUCGGGUUAAUAUUCCCGAACCCGGACUCGGAGAGGGCCCGUGGGUGGCGCCAUUGCCUCACGGCUUUGAAGCCGCUUCACGGGCGAAACCGCGGUGACGCAAGCGAGCCCGAAGACGUCGCCGGGAGCCCCGGGAAGAGUUCUCUCUUCUUCGUAAAGGACCAUGUCCGUGGAAUCGGCUCGUCCGGAGAUACGGAAAAGGUACCUGUAGAGCGCCGCGGC